GACGAACGCUGGCGGCGUGCCUAAUACAUGCAAGUUGAGCGCUGAAGGUUGGUACUUGUACCAACUGGAUGAGCAGCGAACGGGUGAGUAACGCGUGGGGAAUCUGCCUUUGAGCGGGGGACAACAUUUGGAAACGAAUGCUAAUACCGCAUAAAAACUUUAAACACAAGUUUUAAGUUUGAAAGAUGCAAUUGCAUCACUCAAAGAUGAUCCCGCGUUGUAUUAGCUAGUUGGUGAGGUAAGGGCUCACCAAGGCGAUGAUACAUAGCCGACCUGAGAGGGUGAUCGGCCACAUUGGGACUGAGACACGGCCCAAACUCCUACGGGAGGCAGCAGUAGGGAAUCUUCGGCAAUGGACGAAAGUCUGACCGAGCAACGCCGCGUGAGUGAAGAAGGUUUUCGGAUCGUAAAACUCUGUUGGUAGAGAAGAACGUUGGUGAGAGUGGAAAGCUCAUCAAGUGACGGUAACUACACAGAAAGGGACGGCUAACUACGUG
rnacentral:rRNA from 1 species